AACGAACGCUGGCGGCAUGCCUAACACAUGCAAGUCGAACGAUGCCUCCGGGCAUAGUGGCGCACGGGUGCGUAACGCGUGGGAAUCUGCCCUUGGGUUCGGAAUAACUCGCCGAAAGGCGAGCUAAUACCGGAUGAUGACGUAAGUCCAAAGAUUUAUCGCCCAAGGAUGAGCCCGCGUAGGAUUAGCUAGUUGGUGGGGUAAAGGCACACCAAGGCGACGAUCCUUAGCUGGUCUGAGAGUAUGAUCAGCCACACUGGGACUGAGACACGGCCCAGACUCCUACGGGAGGCAGCAGUGGGGAAUAUUGGACAAUGGGCGAAAGCCUGAUCCAGCAAUGCCGCGUGAGUGAUGAAGGCCUUAGGGUUGUAAAGCUCUUUUACCCGGGAUGAUAAUGACAGUACCGGGAGAAUAAGCUCCGGCUAACUCCGUG
rnacentral:rRNA from 1 species